rnacentral:lncRNA from 1 species
UUGUAGAGGUGUCCCUCGAAUGGAUAACCUCUCUUCUCUAGAGAUUAAAAGAUAGGUGUAGCAAUUAGAAGAGACUAAUAGAGAGAUAGAGUAGAGGAGUAGAGUUCUGGAGGAGUGCCGGCAUGUCGGUGCUUCUUUGCUGUAUUCUUCGGGAUUCGGCUCCCUCGCCCGGAGCUACAUUCUGAGGUACUUUUGUAUUCAACAUUCUGAUUCAAGUAAGCAUUUGUUCUUAUUCAUUCUUAAGUUUGCAACUUAUAUUGAGUACUUUGAUCUAUAGGACCCUAUAGGUUAAAGUUGUAUUCCGUAUUGUAGGCGUGGUUGAAAGGUCCAAAUGGCUAGAGGGGGGGGUGAAUAGCCUAUUUAAAAUUUCUACAAACUUCACUAAGCAAGUGAGUUGGUAAAACAAAUGGCGAAGCAACUCUAGCACUAGCCCAACUAAGCUAUGCAAGCUACCUAUACAAACUAGUACAAGGCUAAACACUAAAACACAACAACAAGAGAAGGCUAGCUACACUUCUAAACAAGAAGACUAAACUAAACAAGCUAAACAACUAGCAAGGUAUACAAGUAAGUAAAGGAGUGAAGAGUGAUUGUUAUACUAAUGUUGUAGAGUAGAGAUAUAUCCAACCAAUCAAUCACAAUCACGAUCACAAUAGAUAAUCCUCGGCAAGAGAUGACACAAGAUUUUUUACCGAGGUUCACUUGCUUCCCGGCAAGCUAGUCCUCGUUGUGGCGAUAUACCCACUUGAUGGAUCACGAGCUAAUUGGCAAUCCAAAGCCAAACCCUCAGCGGGUGCCGCAUAUCCACUCACAAGGUGGGGAUCCUCCAAGCCACGAGCAAUCCACUAAAGUAGCCAAUUGCGAUCUCCCGUGGGGAAGGCUCAAGAACCCCUCACAAAUCACUUGGUGAGGCUCGAAACAAUUUCCAAUCACGAGCUCAACACCACCGCUGCUCCAAGCCAUCUAGGGCUUCGGGAAACACCCAAGAGUAACAAGAAAUCCGCAACAAACUCAAGAAUCAAGUGCCACUAAAUGCAACUCUCAAAGCAAUGCACUGGAAUCUCACUCAAUCUCACUAGGAUUAGCAAUCAAGCAAGGAGAUGAGUGGAGGGAGUGUUCUCUAGCUCAAUGUAUACCUCAAGUGUUCAAAUGUGCAAGAGAGAACCUCCCAAAGCUGGCCACCUCCUAUUUAUAAGCCCCCUCAAAGAACUAGCCGUUGGCCACUUUCAAUGGGCUGAAAUCGGGGGCACCGGACGCUACCAAGUGAUCACCGGACGCUCGACCCCUAGCAUCCGGUGCUCUGGGGUUGGCCACGUGUCCUUCUGGAAUCUCGCGCGUUAGUCUCUAACGCCGACCUGCACAACACCGGACGCUCUGUAGGUCCACACCGGACGUGUCCGGUGCACACCGGACCCAUGCGUAAAGAGCUCCGCAAACCUGCAGGGUCACCGGAUGUGAGCCACCGGACGCACCCUGAGCAUCCGGUGCUCACCGGACUCAUGCACAGAGAGGGUCACCGAAACGCCCACACACCGGUCGUUGAGCACCGGACUCACUCCAGUGUGUCCGGUGCACUUUAGACAGACCCGACAGUACACCGGACGCUAAAACCAGCGUCUAGUGCCUCUGCACCCUACGUCCGGUGAGUGUUUCUUGGUGAGAAACACUCCCGCGACUUCUCCAAAAAUUUCCCACCGGCGCAAUAGAAAAUAUACACUUAAUUUUCUCAAAAGCGCCGAAUCUCGCCGAGCUUGCGAGGCGGGAGGGAGAGAGGAACCCACACCCCUCUCAACCCUAGGAACUCAACCUCCUUUGUAAAUGUGCUAACACCAACAAGUGUCCACCACCAAAGUGCACGUUUGUUAGCUUUUUCACAAAUAUUUUUAUCAAGGAUUCAAGUUAGCACUUUACUAGAUCCUAAUGCAUAUGCUCAAGAUAUGGACCUAGUAGCACUUGAUUCGAGAGAUGACCAUGAUUUCCCCUCUUGAUAGUUGGCUAUCUAUCCUAAACCCGGUCAAACACUUCUCUACUCAACUUAGACCGGCAAAAGCAAAACCCUAUGUUUAUACCUUUGCCUUGUUCAAUUUCUCCCUUGUCUAUCAUCAUGAUCUCCACAUCAUGCUUCAUCUCUUCGUAAUCAUGUGGCCACCUUUCCAUGCCACCAUGCACCUUCAUCACAUGUGUUGCUAUGCCUAACUCAAAUCUCUUAAACACAAGGCAUUAGCAUCUUAGUGUCAUUAAUUACCAAAACCAAACUUGGGCUUUCAAUCUCCCCCUUUUUGGUAAUUGAUGACAACCAUCAUAAAGAUAUGAAAUGAAAUCAUAAUGAACUUGAGUUGCUUGUCCAAAGCAUUUUAAACAUGAGACAAGAUUGGCCAACCAUUUCAAUUUCGGUUUUGGUAGUACUAGCUCCCUCUACAUAUGUGCUUCCAUGAGUUUGGUUCAAGUUUGCACAUAUGCAUGAACUGGAAUUUUGGGAGAUUUAUUACUACCAAAAUGAUGCUAAGGUAUAUAGAAUGGAUCUUUGAAGCGUGAUACCAAUCGGAGUUGCCAAUAUACCAUCCUUAGCACCAAUGUAGCUAGACAUACAUCAAAAACUCAAGAUACCUCGUGAGAUCACAUUAUAUGUCUAGAUACCACAUGAAAAUAAAACUUUAUGCUAGAAUUCAAAGCAUCAUUCAAGUUCUAUUUCUAGCAAGCACCAAUCAAAGAAGAGUAGUAUAUUUAAACUUGCAAUGCAACACCUCAUUAUGUUAGUGCACAUUCAAAUGCAACAAAUGGUUCAUGAGCUUGCUCCCCCUAUUUGUGUGCUCAAGUUUAAAAAGUUUUCUCUUCCCCCCUUUUGACUUUAUCUUUGUUUCUCUUCAUGCAUGGCAUUUACCCAAUCGGAAUCUUUCAAUGCAUCUUCUAUCUUCUUUGGUUCCUCAAAUGAGACAAAUGAGUAGUGCUCACAAAAGGAUGCUAGUCUUGAUCUUGUUUGUACACCACUUUGAAUACCACCAAUGACUUGAUCCAAUGGAUGAUCUCUUGCUAUGCUAGUAGGUUGGAGUAUUGAGAGUUGAUUGCUUCCACUUGCUUGAUUUUGGUUUUGAUCAUCAUCAUGAGAGCCACUAGUACUAGCUUGAUUUGUAUCAAUUUAGACUUCUUGAUUGAUCAUUUGAAUCUCAUUAUCAUCAUCAAUUUGCCUUGGCCUUAUGUCACCAACAUCCAUGUUCUUCAUUGCAUUUGCCAAUUGAUCUCCUCUCACAUCAUCAAGAUUUUGGGCUUCACUUUGAGAUCCCUCAGUUUCAUCAAACUCAACAUCAUGAACUUCUAAUAUGCCACUUGUCAAGUUCCAAACUCUAUAUGCCUUGCUUGUGGUGGAAUAACCUAGUAAGAACCCUUCAUCACAUUUCUUCUCAAACUUGCUCAAUCUAGUGCCUUUCUUGAGAAUGUAGCAUUUACAACCAAACACUCUAAAGUAUGCAAUGUUGGGCUUUCUUCCAUUCAAUAGCUCAUAUGGUGUCUUCCCAAGCUUCCCAUGGCAAUAGAGAUGGUUGCUACUGUAACACUCCUAGUGUUAGCUUGCAUGUUAACCAUGAGCAUUGCAUCAACAUAAGCAUCAUCAUGAUCACUCAUGAGCAUCAUACCAUGAUCACAUGUCAAUUGGUGUGUACACUAGGUGAUUGUUUUCCUUAUGUGACUUGCUAUAUGUGAAAGAAAUGUGUGACCAAUGCAUAUAAGUGCACAUUGUCUUCCAAAAUACUCUAAUCAUGUUUAGAAUGUGAUUUUGAACAAAGUUUGUGUUGGAGGUUUCACCCAAAAAUGCCCCGAAGUCAUAGUUAACCCUAGGUUGACCUAGUUGACCCCCUAAACCUCUUUUUAAAGACCUUUUAUGAAACCAGUGUUAGAGACCUUGCAUGUAAGUGUCAUCUAAAGCAAAGUUGUAGUAAAUUUUAUAAGCUACAAAAGCUGUGUUGAUGACUUUUUAUGAAAAUGCUUGGAACCUGACCAAACAUGGCCCACAAGCCAGAAACCAGUGCUGUUUCCAACACUUAGUCGAAUUUGGCUAAGUCUGGAAUCUGCAGUUUCGGGGUAGGGUACUUGGGAGCUUUAUAGUUUGAAUCCAAGCCGAACCAGACCUUAAUCCUUAAAGCAAUCUUGUAGAACUUAUGUAUCUCUAUCCAAAGAAACAAAUUUGAGCCAAUACCAUCGAGUGAAUCGAGAGUAAAACGUCGGUGAAGAUCGAGUUUCAGUCACUGCGAUCGGGCGUUUCAGACCUCGAUUCAGUUUGGACAGUCGCCGUCCGCCGCCGCGUGUCCGGCCAGGUGGCGACCGUACGCCGUCGACGGUCCCACCUGUCAGCUUGGACGACGUCCUCAAGUCACCACGGAGCCACCCCGUGCCUCAGACGCGACAUCCACUCCACCAGAGCCUCCCAUUUCGCCCGCCUUCGUUCUCGGCGAGCUCCGCCGCGCUUCGGCGAGCUCUCCCGGCCGCUCCACCGCGUCUCCGGCCAAGCCAGCCCGCCUAGAGCUCCGCCACGACAUCCUCUACCUCGACGUCCACCCCUUUUCCCUAGCCGAGCACUGGUGAGGUCGCAUUGUCAACUCCGUCGUGAGCUCCACCUUGCCGGAGUUCGCAGAGAUCACCGACAACGUGACCAGACCUCUCUGGUUCACCUCUCGCCGUGAUUCUUCUUCCUACGGCUUCGCCUUGCUUCACUCUUGCUCGUCCGCAACCUCUACUGAGUCGCCAUUGCCUAGGUUCGCCAGCAUAACACCGCGCAGCGCCGCCGCUCCGCCAUUCGCGACGACGAGCACCCUAGAGUCCAGUAGAGCGUGAGCAAAGUAGGUCAACAGGUUCGCCUUGAACUGAGGAACACGUAGAUGCCCUCAGUUUCCCUGGAGACCUCACCAUCAUUGAGAACUCUGGCGGCCGAUCUCGUCUCUGCUCCCUGUCUCUCUGUCGUGUGGGUCCCUUCUGUCAGCAGGCCCCACCUGUCAGCCACUGCCUCUCUCUCCCCUGUGUCCACUGUUUUGCAGAUCCUGAGUUGUUUUUGUAAAAAUCAUAACUUGAGCUAGGCAGAUCCAAAUAGAGUGAUUCCAAUUUUGUUAGAUUCUUGCAUUAAUCUAGUUUUUAUUAAAAAUAUAAAACAUACCAUGUAUUUGCAGACAUAAAUAGAUAUGAUUUAAUCUUGGUUAAAUAGAAGGUAAAUAUAUCUUGAGAUCUGUGAGUCUUAUGGCCAUGCAAAUUUAGGAGAGUGUUGUUUAUGACAUAAAAGGCUCUAAUAGAUUUAUCAUGAUUUUUGGAUGACUGUUGGUGAAGUUAUAAUUAUUUCUUGUUUAAAUAGGAGUUUCUUGUGGUAUUUUUAGUAAAUAGAUUAUAACUCCUUUUAUGGUGAAACUUGCUGAGUGAUGUAAUCAUGUGUAAACAAAGCUAAGAAAAAUAUGAAAUCUAUUGUUUGACACUUGUUGAUAGGGUUUCACAUUUAUGCCUUUAAUGCCAUUGUUAGCUUGUCAUUUUUGUAUCUCACAAGCUGCAUGAGCAAGAGCCCUGAAAUUUUUACAGUAACCUUGUGGUAGCCUAAACAGCUUGUUGUAAAUGUAUUAGAAUUUUUGGAGCACUUGUACUACAUACUCAUUAAUUCACCCUAAUAAUCAAAUAAAUAGAAAAGGGGAUAAUAGGGAUGAGUUUAAACCUUGCCAUGAUGUUUUAUGGUGUUUCUUAGACAUGUUCUAACUACUGGUGCAUUUGGUUUGAACCAAUGUUACAUUCUUAGUAUGUGUUAAAAUAUUAUUUUGCUAAUUAUGCCAUGUCCAGAGCAUAUUCUGUGCAACUAGUAGAAUUUAUUUAAGAACUUCUUGAAGAUAAAGUUUGCUGGAAAACUUGUCUAUAACAAACUUGUAGCUAACUUACUUAUCUAUCUUGUGUCCAAAUUUCAUGACAUUUGGCUGGGUAGUUUAAGAGUUAUGAUUGUUGCAAGAAGCUGCUGCGAAGUGCUUGCUCUCUGGAUUUUCCAGGACAGCCAGCAUACUUUGCCUGUUUCAACCUAUUUCCUUUGGGAAUACUUCUGGGAUGUCUAAAAGUGAAUUGUAGAGAAUUUGUUAAGCUUUCCAGAAAGUGUCUACUUGCUUAAUUUGGACAACUGGUGCCUGAGUUAUGGAUAAAACUUCUGACUAGUUGGUCUGUUUAUGACACCCGUUGCUAAAUAUGAGUAGCUAAGGUUGAUUGGCUUGUCUAGUUAGCCUCUCCACCAGAGAAGAAGUAUGCACUUACUUACUUAGUCAUGAUCCGCUUACUCUUAAGAACUUGAGAUCAUGUUUGCACCUUGUUGCAUGUUCAAUUGGCUUAUCAUCAUGACAUUAUGCAUCACAUGUGCAUUCCCUGUGUUUAUCGCCUUGUCAUGCAUGCUUAGGUGUACCCAAGGGCGUGACAGUCCUGGAGUUCGCGCCACCAGAACCGGAGGAGCAGCAGAGGGAGCCACCUCAAGGAGAAGGAGCUGAGUAGGAGGAGGAUCUACCGGAGUGCCCCGACCACCGUCCUUCCACCUACAUCGAUGUCAAGCCCCGGAGCAUUAUAAGACUCCUACUAUUUUGUUAUCAUGUCCAGCUGUCAAUU